UUAAUUGGUAAGAGUACUUCA
rnacentral:misc_RNA from 1 species